GACGAAGGGGGCUAGCGUUGUUCGGAAUUACUGGGCGUAAAGCGUGCGUAGGUGGUUCGUUAAGUCCGUUGUGAAAGCCCCGAGCUCAACUUGGGAAUUGCAGUGGAUACUGGCGAGCUGGAGUGCGGUAGAGGAAGGUGGAAUUCCCGGUGUAGCGGUGAAAUGCGUAGAGAUCGGGAGGAACACCAGUGGCGAAGGCGGCCUUCUGGACCAGCACUGACACUCAAGCACGAAAGCGUGGGGAGCAAACAGG
rnacentral:rRNA from 1 species